CAAUGUGAUGAAAGAACCAAUGACUGCAACAAUCUUGUCAAGGUAAAGCAAUGUGAUGAAAGAACAAAUGACUGCAACAAUCUUGUCAAGGUAAAGCAAUGUGAUGAAAGAACAAAUGACUGCAACAAUCUUGUCAAGGUAAAGCAAUGUGAUGAAAGAACCAAUGACUGCAACAAUCUUGUCAAGGUAAAGCAAUGUGAUGAAAGAACAAAUGACUGCAACAAUCUUGUCAAGGUAAAGCAAUGUGAUGAAAGAACCAAUGACUG